GAUGAACGCUGGCGGCGUGCUUAACACAUGCAAGUCGAACGAGAAGUGAAGACGGAAACCUUCGGGCGGAAGGCUUUAUUUCGAGUGGCGGACGGGUGAGUAACGCGUGGGUAACCUGCCUCAUACAGGGGGAUAACAGUUGGAAACGACUGUUAAUACCGCAUAAGACCACAGCACCGCAUGGUGCGGGGGUAAAAACUCCGGUGGUAUGAGAUGGACCCGCGUUCGAUUAGCCAGUUGGCGGGGUAACGGCCCACCAAAGCGACGAUCGAUAGCCGAUCUGAGAGGAUGACCGGCCACAUUGGGACUGAGACACGGCCCAAACUCCUACGGGAGGCAGCAGUGGGGAAUAUGGCACAAUGGGGGAAACCCUGAUGCAGCGACGCCGCGUGAGUGAAGAAGUAUUUCGGUAUGUAAAGCUCUAUCAGCAGGGAAGAAAAUGACGGUACCUGAGUAAGAAGCCCCGGCUAACUACGU
rnacentral:rRNA from 1 species